CACGUGGUGGGGAGGGUGCGGAGCAUGAAGGUGAGAUGGCAAGUUGUGCGGUUUAGGACACGAGGGUCCCGGCCCCGAGGCUCUGCCUGGCCCGCACAGUCUGGAUUGCCUGCUGGUUCUUGAACUUGACCAGGCCCAGGGUGAUCUGGGCGUUCCAGCCAGGAUCCUCGAGGGGGCAGCGGAAGUCGAUCUCGCCGCCUCCCUCGGUCACCAGCGUGAAAUAGAUGUGGCGCCCGGUGCUCUCCACGCAUUCCACGGCCUUGAUGCGGGCGAAGCUGAGCUCCUUGGGCCGGCCGCCGGUGCCCUUGGCCUCGAAGAGCUGCAGACCGCGCUCGGUGAGCACACAGCGCUUCCGCUUCCACAGCUGCAGCAGCCCGCCGCUGCGCUUCUCCAGCACGCCCUCCUUGAGCACAGUCGCCGCCGCCGUCAUGGGCGCCCAGACGUCCCGGGAAAACUGCACGCUGCGGUGGGCGCUGCGCCCUCCCCGGCUCGGCAGCGCCGG
rnacentral:lncRNA from 1 species